rnacentral:misc_RNA from 1 species
UCCGGCUUAACGCCGGCAGUCUCGCUAGAGUUCCCGGCUUUACCCGCUGGCAACUAGCGAUAAGGGUUUCGCUCGUUAAGGGACUUAACCCGACACUUCACAGCACGAGCUGACGACAGCCAUGCAGCACCUGUGCACGUUUCACCCGAAGGCAGCCUACUGAUGUUUCCACCAGAGCAUCCGUGCAUGUCAAACCCAGGUAAGGUUCUUCGCGUUGCUUCGAAUUAAUCCACAUGCUCCACCGCUUGUGUGAGCCCCCGUCAAUUCCUUUGAGUUUUAGCCUUGCGGCCGUACUCCCCAGGCGGCGCACUUAACGUUUUUAUUUCGAUACGAAAAACGUCAGUGUUCCUCGUAUCUAGUGCGCAUCGUUUACAGCGUGGACUAC